GCUCCCAUAGCUCAGUUGGAUAGAGCAACGGCCUUCUAAGCCGUAGGUCGAAGGUUCGAAUCCUUCUGGGGGCACCA
rnacentral:tRNA from 1 species